rnacentral:rRNA from 1 species
GGGGAAUAUUGGACAAUGGGCGCAAGCCUGAUCCAGCAAUGCCGCGUGGAUGAAGAAGGUCUUCGGAUUGUAAAGUCCUUUCGGCGGGGACGAUGAUGACUGUACCCUCAGAGAAAGCCCCGGCUAACUACGUGCCAGCAGCCGCGGUAAUACGUAGGGGGCAAGCGUUGUCCGGAUUUACUGGGUGUAAAGGGCGCGCAGGCGGGAUAAAAAGUCAGUGGUGAAAUCCUACAGCUUAACUGUAGAACUGCCUUUGAUACUUUUAUUCUUGAGUUCGGGAGAGAGAGACGGAAUUCCAGGUGUAGUGGUGAAAUACGUAGAUAUCUGGAAGAACACCAGUUGCGAAGGCGGUCUCUUGGUCCGACACUGACGCUGAGGCGCGAAAGCGUGG